UUUUCUGUUCGACACAAAAAAAAUUGAACACAAAAUAAAAUAUCAGUAGCAGUGUUCGUACUAACAAUUAUCGUAUCAUUUGUUCGUGUGUUUUCAUGCUUUCGUGACACUUGCGUACGGCACAGUUGUACAAUAUAAAUUGUAUGCGUAUACUAUAUUCAAAACUGGUUUUAUUAUUCCUUUUUUUUUGUUUUGUCGUUGGAAAAGGAUCAAGCGUAUCGCCUAAUAUUAUUGUCGUUCGAAUAUAGCUCAUCGACGGAAUGAUUUUCACGUGGAGGAUGUUGUUGUCGCUGAUCUUGAUAAUAUUAUCUUCAGUUCGGCUGGUGAGAGAAAGUCCAGACUUGUGAGACCACCGGACAAAGAAUUACCACAAUAGAGAUAAGAAGACUCCAGCAUGGAAUUCAACAGGCGAAAAGUUAAAAGUAGAUGGUCCCCAUCGGAUACAAUGAGCGCGAUCUUUGAAGUCGUCCGACGACUUGUGUAGGAGAUUACCUUGACUGCGUAUGACGUCCGACACGUUAUCAGACGACAAUCUAAUCAAUUUAUAAUUUGUCCGGAAACCGAAACAACCACUCCUGAUGCGGUCCAAGCUAGCGCAGGCAGUGCCGACACGAGUGUAGCAAAACAACCUGUGACGGUUGAAUGUAGCGACAAGCAACAGGCUACUCCAGCUCAAAAUUCGUCAAACACUGGUGACUGUUGUGUUUUCCUAAAAUCAUUGAGAUGGCUCGUCACUGAGCCUGUUAAGUAUUUGUGGAAGUAUAUGGUAGCGACGAAAAACAUAUUGGUUAAUCUGACCAGCACAUACAACAGCGGAAACACCGUUCGCAUAAACGCAUUGUGAUAUCUUUUCAUGUGUGGACAUGCAGUGCACUCGUAUACUAAAACGUUGUUGCAUAUACUGGCAUAAUCUGGAGGACAGAACAAACAUUACGUACGUCAUAUAUUCACAACUUGAAUUGUACAAAAUAAUUAAUAUAAUAUGAUAAACAAUUUAUAUACAGAAUUAUGUUUUCUAUCAUCGAAAAUAAUAAUUAAAAUUAUGUUAUUGUCUACUAAUUAAACGAUGUA